rnacentral:misc_RNA from 1 species
ACCAACGUCUUUGUGAGAUUUUUCUGAUUAAAGUAACACCAAACACGAUAUACCUUAAAUCACAUUUACCUAUAUAUUUAAUGAAGAAAAUAAGUCAGCGUCAUUAACCAGUUAGCUGUUGCGACCUCGUUGAAAAGCGUGUACCUAAAAUGUAUUACUAAAAGAAAGACGAGUAUACUCGUCAAACACAGAGUAUGCGUGACUGUUAUAAUAUACAAUUAAGUUGUGAUGAAACGAUUGUUUUAUCUUUUAAUUCUAUUACUGACAAGGCUCGUCAUAACACAAAAUAUUGCAAUUUCUUCGUGACGAGUAUACUCGUCAUAAAACAGC